UGGCGGCCACAUCACGUUGAAAAACCGGUUCCCCCAUUGAUCAUCGAAGUUAAGCAACGUUGAGCCCGGCCAGUAGCUUGACGGGUGACUGUUUGGGAAUAAUAAGUUGUU